GCCAGGUGCUGGGCGCAUGCCUGGAAUCCCAGUUACUCCCGAGGCUGAGGCAGGAGAAUGCUUGGGCCCAGGAGGUAGAGGCUGCAGUGAGCCAUGAUCGCUCCACCGCACUCCAGCCUGGGCUGUCGUGGGCUAUGCCUAGCUGGUGUCCACACUAAGUUCAGCAUCAGCAUGGUGACCUCUGGGUGCAAAGGGACCACCAUGUUGCCUAAGGAGGGGUGAACCGACUCAGAUCGGAAAUGGAGCAGGUGAAAACUUUUGUACUGAUCCGUAGUGGGACCCCACCUGUGAAUAGCCACUGCAUUCCAGGCUGGGCGACAUAGCUAGAACCCAUCUUU
ensembl:misc_RNA Metazoa_SRP Metazoan signal recognition particle RNA